ensembl:lncRNA
UGUGGACCAGUGGCAGCCUCCUGGUGAUUCCUACUGUUUAAAGGGUCCUAAACAAACCUCUGUUUAACCCUAUGCGGAAGAAUUUGAACAGCUGAGAGGCAAAGAUGGCAAUGAGAAGCCUGAUCAGAAGUCACCUGGGAUGGUGGGCUGGCAUAUUCAUCAAGGUGGAAACUGACAGAGGGGCCAGGAUCUUUUGGCUCAACCCCCUACCUGGGGACCCCAAGCCGUAUGCACAAAUGGUUCCCUGGUGUGAGUAGAGAGAAGAUCUGACUCCAAUGGGGAUCGUUUCUCCACAACAGGAUGUUAUCUCAGACCUGUGUACCUGUGUAUCUCCAGGAGUAUCACCC